UCUAAGGUAAUUCUUUCCUUUUCAAUUGCUUAUGCUUUUGACUUACAUAAGUCCAUAUGUCUUUAUUGAUCUGAUAAUAUAUGAUGUUUGGUGUUUCCUUUCAUAUAUCCCAUCAUUGACUUUACAUCAAAGAAGAAAUCGACGGAGGAAAGACAAUCAAACGUCAAUGAGGAAGCUUUGGCCGAGAAGAAGCCCAUGACCAGUUUGAACCUUCAUAUUUAAUUGGUGUUUAAUUUCAUUUAUCUCUAUUUAGGCUCUUUAUUUUUUCCUUUUUAUGUCCCAAUUCUUGAAUUUUUUUUCUCGACUUUGUGUCACUGUCAUCCGAGGUAAUUCAAUGGACCAAGGAACUAGAGAAUUUGGUCCUACAACAACAAAUAGAGAUGCAACUCAAUCCUUGAGGCGAUGAUAGGAAACAGUUGGAAAGGGACAAUGACUAACUGUUGAGCCAAAUGUUUAGCAGAAGUCAUCAAGCUGUAUUCACAAUGAGUCAAUAUAGUACAAAUGCUCGGAUAAAUUUUACAAGAAGAUACCAAAUUAUAGUGAAGAAAACGGAGGGCACAGUGACGGCGCAAAUUGACUACUCUAUCUUGAUAGCUUGUUAGUGGAAUUGUGGUGGAAGAAAAGGCUAUAUAAUCAGAUUGAGGCCAUUGGAGGCCGUUUGGUUGGUGUUCUAGACGUUGCAAGAUUGUAGAGUUUCCCGUUAGCGAGAUACUAUUGGUGAAAACGAAGCUAGUAGCUGACGAGUUCGCUAGAGUUGAUUCAGUUGUUGAGGUGAGCCGUCGCAUUGUUCGUAGAGGCUGUCAAAAGAGUCUUUAUUAUUCAUUCAUAUGAUGUCUAUUGUAAUUCUCUUAGAUGCUCCAUGGUCUAGUGUGGAAUUUGGGCUAGAAUUUCAGUAUAAUAUUUCGAGAUAUUAAUUGUUUGUAAUGUAUUUGUCAGAUUAUUUAGACACUCUUGUGAUUAAUCAAAUACUGUAAAUU